AUUGAACGCUGGCGGCAGGCCUAACACAUGCAAGUCGAGCGAGAAAGGUCUUCGGACUGAGUACAGCGGCGGACGGGUGAGUAAAGCGUAGGAAUCUACCUGGUAGUGGGGGAUAACUUGGGGAAACUCAAACUAAUACCGCAUACGCCCUACGGGGAAAGCGGGGGACCGUUCGGGCCUCGCGCUAUCAGAUGAGCCUGCGUAGGAUUAGCUAGUUGGUGAGGUAAAGGCUCACCAAGGCGACGAUCCUUAGCUGGUCUGAGAGGAUGAUCAGCCACACUGGGACUGAGACACGGCCCAGACUCCUACGGGAGGCAGCAGUGGGGAAUAUUGCGCAAUGGGCGAAAGCCUGACGCAGCCAUGCCGCGUGUGUGAAGAAGGCCUUAGGGUUGUAAAGCACUUUCAAUUGGGAAGAAAAGUUGGUCGUUAAUAGCGGCCAGCCCUGACAUUACCUUUAGAGGAAGGACCGGCUAACUCCGUGCCAGCAGCCGCGGU
rnacentral:rRNA from 1 species